UGCCAGCCGCCGCGGUAAUACGGAGGGGGCUAGCGUUGUUCGGAAUUACUGGGCGUAAAGCGCACGUAGGCGGACUAUUAAGUCAGGGGUGAAAUCCCGGGGCUCAACCCCGGAACUGCCUCUGAUACUGGUAGUCUUGAGUCCGAGAGAGGUGAGUGGAAUUCCGAGUGUAGAGGUGAAAUUCGUAGAUAUUCGGAGGAACACCAGUGGCGAAGGCGGCUCACUGGGAUAAUACUGACGCUCAGACACGAAAGCGUGGGGAGCAAACAGGAUUAGAUA
rnacentral:rRNA from 1 species